rnacentral:rRNA from 1 species
AGCGGCGGACGGGUGACUAAUGCCUAGGAAUCUGCCUGGUAGUGGGGGACAACGUUUCGAAAGGAACGCUAAUACCGCAUACGUCCUACGGGAGAAAGCAGGGGACCUUCGGGCCUUGCGCUAUCAGAUGAGCCUAGGUCGGAUUAGCUUGUUGGUGAGGUAAUGGCUCACCAAGGCGACGAUCCGUAACUGGUCUGAGAGGAUGAUCAGUCACACUGGAACUGAGACACGGUCCAGACUCCUACGGGAGGCAGCAGUGGGGAAUAUUGGACAAUGGGCGAAAGCCUGAUCCAGCCAUGCCGCGUGUGUGAAGAAGGUCUUCGGAUUGUAAAGCACUUUAAGUUGGGAGGAAGGGCAGUCAGCGAAUACCUGGUUGUCUUGACGUUACCGACAGAAUAAGCACCGGCUAACUCUGUGCCAGCAGCCGCGGUAAUACAGAGGGUGCAAGCGUUAAUCGGAAUUACUGGGCGUAAAGCGCGCGUAGGUGGUUUGUUAAGUUGGAUGUGAAAGCCCCGGGCUCAACCUGGGAACUGCAUCCAAAACUGGCAAGCUAGAGUAUGGUA